rnacentral:rRNA from 1 species
GUGGGGAAUUUUGGACAAUGGGCGCAAACCUGAUCCAGCAAUGCCGCGUGCAGGAAGAAGGCCUUCGGGUUGUAAACUGCUUUUGUACGGAACGAAACGGUCCUGGUUAAUACCUGGGGCUAAUGACGGUACCGUAAGAAUAAGCACCGGCUAACUACGUGCCAGCAGCCGCGGUAAUACGUAGGGUGCGAGCGUUAAUCGGAAUUACUGGGCGUAAAGCGUGUGCAGGCGGGGCUGUAAGACAGGCGUGAAAUCCCCGGGCUCAACCUGGGAAUUGCGCUUGUGACUGCAGUGCUGGAGUACGGCAGAGGGGGAUGGAAUUCCGCGUGUAGCAGUGAAAUGCGUAGAUAUGCGGAGGAACACCGAUGGCGAAGGCAGUCCCCUGGGCCUGUACUGACGCUCAUGCACGAAAGCGUGGGGAGCAAACAGGAUUAGAAACCCUGGUAGUCC